UCCGGUGGUUUGAGCGGGGCGGACCCACCCGUUCCCAUCCCGAACACGGAAGUGAAACGUCCCAGCGCAGACGAUACUCGUCGUGUACGCGGCCGCGGAAAAUAUGCCACUGCCGGAG
rnacentral:rRNA from 1 species